GUUAGGUAAGUAUCUACUGAUUUUUCACCCUUAUUGAUUACAGGCUUCCUGAGAGCAAGGACUGUGUCUUGGAUUCAUUACUCUGUCUCUCGCACCUUCAACUGUCCUUGGAAGCCACACUACCAGCCCAUACCCUGAAUCCACGUGAAUUAGAAAGAAAGGACACUCCUGCCUCAAAUUACUAGAACGUCACCACCUGUGACCAGAGUGUUCCUUGUAAAACUGCUUGGUAAUUGUGAAGUAAGUGACAUCCUCGGGUGGCAGGCAACCUGGGAGCAUGAUUUGCUCCAUUAUAUAAACAUCACCCCUGAGCUGACAAGGUUGUUACUAGUUUCCUUUGCUCUACACGCAACAAGCCAAAUGCUGAGAAACCAAGGUUUACAACCGAGAAAGAGUUUAUGCACAAGGCCGUUAAACAAGGAAACGGAAAACAAGACUUAGCUCUGCUUCCCUGAAGCCAAGAGGGUUGCAAUGUUUAUGGAAUGAGCAGGGAUGAGGAGGGUGGUCCUCAGUUCAGUUCAGUCGCUCAGUCGUGCCCGACUCUUCACGAACCCAUGAAUCGCAGCAUGCCAGGCCUCCCUGUCCAUCACCAACUCCCGGAGUCUACUCAAACUCACGUCAACUGAGUUCGUGAUGCCAUCCAGCCAUCUCAUCCUCUGAUGUCUCCUUCUCCUCCUGCCCCCAGUCCCUCCCAGCAUCAGGGUAUUUUCCAAUGAGUCAACUCUUCGCAUGAGGUGGCCAAAGUAUUGGGGAAAGGUGAUUCGUGCAGAAAGAGGUGAGGUCAUCUGCGCAGGCGCAUUGGGUUGCUCACCUCUGCAUAUUUUAAAUGGAGGUGCCCAGAAGGAUCUGAGGGUGGAGUUUUCUAGUCCUCUGCCUUCCAAAGGCCAUUCAUGAGACACCACUCAGGUCAGUUUUAGGAUCAGCGGUCCCAACUGGUCUUAUCCAGCUCGCAGUGGAGAAGAGCUGACUCCGAGUUCCUAUAGAACAGCUGGGCUAUGGGAAGCUGAGCAGGAGGUGGGUCCUAGAGGAUCUUGCUGUGAUUCAUUUCAAAGAAUGUUGUGCCAUGUUCAAACCAAGACUUAACUAUAAUUUUUGCUGUCCCAGAGAUGGAAUUGUCAGUCAAUCAGGAAGCACCUGAUCUGCAUUUCUUAGGUGCAGUGUGCUCAGUCACGUCUGACUCCACGACCCCAUGGACUGUAACCCGCCAGGCUCCUCUGUCCAUGGGAUUUCCCAAGCAAGAAUACUGGAGUGGAUUGUCAUUUCCUCCUCUAGGGGAUCUUCCUAACCCAGGGAUGGAAACUGCAUCUCCUGUCUCCUGCAUUGGCAGGCAAUUCUUUGUCCCUGAGCCACUUGGGGGCGCCUCCUUAUAGACUGCCAGCUCUUUCCUGAAGGAUGCUACAGCUCUGCAAAAGGCAUUCUAUGGACUUCGAGGGCCCAAGUAAAAGUGAAAGUUGUUCAGUUGUGUCUGACUCUUUGUGACCCCAUGGACUAUACAGUUCAUGGAAUUCUCCAAGCCAGAAUACUGAAGUGGGUAGCCGUUCCCUUCUCCAGGGUAUCUUCCCAAUCCAGGGACUGAACCCAGGUCUCCCACAUUGUAUGCAGAUCCUUUACCAGCUGAGCUACCAGGGAGGCCCAAUACCGGAGUGGGUAGCCUAUCCCUUCUCCAGCAGAUCUUCCCCACCCAGGAGUGGAACCAGGGUCUCCUGCAUUGCAGGCAGAUGCUUUACCAGCUGAGCUACAUGGAAAGCCCAUCUCAGGGCCCAAAUUUCCCCUAAAAAAGCUUGCAGGAAAUUGAUACCAGGGAUAGUAGCUGUUAUAUUUCACAUUCUUACAACCUCCAGGAAUCUGGCUGCCUGAAUUUUAUCAUGUAGCCUGUUAGGGAGUACGAUUCAAACAGGCUUUGAUUUAGCAUCGCCUUUGAAGCUUCCCCAGGCAACCUGGCUUAGUCAUGAAGGUCUAAACCGCGCAUAUUCCAUUUUCUGGUAAAUAUGUCAGUGCCACAUACGUAAAAUUUUAAGUAUAAUGCACGUACCCCUAACCUAUAGAUGCUGGCUAAAAAUGAAGCUUUUGAUUUAGCGUUCUCUGUAC
ensembl:lncRNA